ensembl:lncRNA
CCACAUUUACAUAAGGUGACAUUCAAAAGUGUUAGCUUAGUGAGUAUAGCCUACUCGGCAUCAGAAUCAAAAUAUGUACCCACGUAGUUAACAUGUUAAAAAAUCUUGUUUAGCUCAAGCAGGAAGUAAAGGGGACUUUCCAGUUCAGCAACAUCAUAAGGGUCAUCUCUCUCUCUUUCUCUAAACUGGAAAUAGGCUUAUUGAUAGCCUACAUAUGCAUGCCUACACAUACUGUAUGUCUCUUAUAAAACUAGGAGGGCAUUCGGAGAGCGCAGACCUCUGCCAAGGCUAAUAUUCCCUAUUUUAACAAAAGCAAAAAAUGAUUCCCUAUAAUUUUAUAGGUUCUUCCUUGGUCCAUGAUACAUCAUGUAUAUACCAUCUUAUGUAUGUAUGCAAGCAAGCAUGCUUAUCCUGAUACAUAUAUGAAUUAAUCUGCCAUGCUCCUGACCCCAAGCAUCCCUAGUAGUAGCCUCCCUAGGAGUAUGGGCUCCUCCAGAACAAUUGGUGGCGCAAUUACGCCUUAAUUAUAUUUGGUAUGUCACCGAAAAGAAGAAGAAAGAAAUAUAAGGCAUGAAGGAUUAGGAUGUAAACAAAUACCCUCUGUUUGAAGUUGUGUUAGACGCUUGUGUUGUAGCUAUGAUAUCUCGGCUGUUACAGUUGCUGAAAGAGGAGGAUGAUUUGUUUGCACGAUUACAGAGCUUGCGAGCCAGGCGUCGAAGGCGGCGACAGUUUAUGCGCAGAAUAAAUCCCCCCACACGAAAAGAGGGGAGUUUCUCCCCUCUGGUUGAAGCCCGGGAAAGGGAUUUCGAUAUCUCUGGAGCGGAUGCCGUCGAUGUGCCUGUGGUGAGUGUCAUUACCAGCAAAAAACCUCAAGUCGUUUUGCUUACGAAGACCAUGGGAUCUGAUUAUACCCCCUCUCUUCGGUCUUAUAUAUCAUCUGCAUCCACACCAUCAAUGUUGUCCACUGAAUGUGUCUCCCCAGCUUUGAAUGCUGCACAAACAGUGGACUCAAGUCACAUACUGCCUGACUCAAGUUGGCCCACAAGACGUGUGGGCCAACUUGAGAUUGUGAAGAGACGUGUAAAUACUGAGGAUGGAAUACUGAAAAAACUGGAGAGAAUUGACCUGGAGAAGGAAGUGAUGGAAAUUAAUGAGGACACUGCAUUUUGUGCGUUUGUGGCCCACAUGCUGUCUAAACUCUCUGAAGAACCAAGACGAGCUGCUCAGUUGCGAAUCUUGCAAAUCCUACAUGAUGCCAGGAAGAAUGACUUGGGAUCUUCCUGAGGAGUAGAGGGAAUGAUGAUGAUUAAUAGGACAGUGAAGUUAUGUAAGGGUUCUGUUCUGUUCUGUUAAAUUGUUCAGAAAAAUGUUGACAUGGUUGAACGGUGAUAUUUGUUUCACAUUGACUCCAGCAGUCAAGAAUAAGUUACUGACCAAUAUUGUAGCAACUCAAUAUUAAAGUUUGGGUUUAAGCAACCUCUUUUGGUAUGGAAAAUACUUUGUCAUAAAGCCAAUGGAGGGGGGUGUUGAGCACACAUUAGAUUAAAUGAGUAAUCCACUAAUAAAGAGUCACCAAAUACUCAAGCUUAGAUUAUCCCAAAAUGUCACCAAAAGAACUAGGGUUAACAUAAUGGGCCUACCCUGAUCUUUAGAGGAAGACACGAUACUCAUCCAGUAUCAGAAUUAGCUGAGGGGCUGGAGCUUGAAAUAAUCAAUCUAAAUGGAAAGAAGCAUCCACGCACUCAAAUCUAUGCAAAAAUCUUUUACUUUGCAAGUUUUGGUCAGACCUUCAAGGCAUGAACAGGAAGCAAAUUAAUGCAGCAGUGCAAAAGGUUAAAUAACAGCUCUUGAUAAGACUUAUUGCAGGACACUUGCAUCAAUCAGUUGAGCUUGUGUGGCUAAACAUCAAGAGAACUGCAGUCCUAAGUUUAAGUUAAAGUUAAAGAGUGUCCACAGAGACAAAGAAACACUAAGCCGCGCCAAUUUUUUAAAUAUACACAAAUAGAUCAAGC